AACGAACGCUGGCGGCAGGCCUAACACAUGCAAGUCGAACGCUCCAGCAAUGGAGAGUGGCAGACGGGUGAGUAACACGUGGGAACCUUCCCUUUGGUUCGGAAUAGCCCAGGGAAACUUGGGGUAAUACCGGAUAAGCCCUUACGGGGAAAGAUUUAUCGCCGAAGGAUGGGCCCGCGUCGGAUUAGCUGGUUGGUGGGGUAACGGCCUACCAAGGCGACGAUCCGUAGCUGGUCUGAGAGGAUGAUCAGCCACACUGGGACUGAGACACGGCCCAGACUCCGACGGGAGGCAGCAGUGGGGAAUAUUGGACAAUGGGCGCAAGCCUGAUCCAGCCAUGCCGCGUGAGUGACGAAGGCCUUAGGGUUGUAAAGCUCUUGUGGCGGGGAAGAUAAUGACGGUACCCGCAGAAUAAGCUCCGGCUAACUUCGUGCCAGCCGCCGCGGUAAUAC
rnacentral:rRNA from 1 species